CAUGUUAUGAAAGUAGCAGAGGCUUAUGAGGGAAAGAAAAAAAAAAGGGGUGCUCCUAUGAAUGCAACCGACAUUAUAAAGCAGCUUGCGAGACAAAAUUCAUGGUCCUAUAUGGAAGAACUUUUCAAACUAGUUGUUCUUCUUCAUCUCACACCUAAGGAAAAUGAGAGCUAACCAAAAUUCCUAAAAGCUAAGGAAUAGUAGUAGCUAAGAUGGACGAUUCACACAUCCUCCUUUACUUGUUGCACCGCUAUAACUCCCUCCAACUUAGUCUCCUACUCUCUCACGUUUUCACCAUGGUAACCAGCCAUCAAAACACUACAAAGUCUCUUAAAACCACCCAAAACCCACCCAAAAGUGCAGCAAUAAAACAGAUGUGAACAUCUUAAAAACAAUAACCCCAAAUCUGUACCUGAACCAGCAGUAAAAUACAUCUAAAAAUCAGCCAAAACCAGUCCCAAACCCAGCUGAAAACUCACUCCAAAAUACCCCCAAAAUCUAGCUUCUUCUCCACCAAAAGGAGUUCGAAGAAGUCGAGUCCAAAGUCUAUUGUGUCGUCGAGGUAUGAGUUUGUCGCUGUCGAGAUUAGGAGCCACUGUUUCAAUUUGCGUUGUUGGAAUUCGUUCGUUGUUUCCUUAUUUUUUGAGCUCCUAUUGCUGCUUUUAAGUGUAUUGAUUUUCAAACACAUGAGCUAAUUGAAAGCUCAUUUCAGGUUUAUCUCCUCCUCUUUAUUUCCAAUCUGACAUAUUACGAUUCAAGUUUUAAGAGAGCCAUUAAAAGAUAGAUUAAAUUAAUAUUUAUCAUGGGGAUUUACAAAUUAGUUCAUAGUUAGCGUACCUUACCUUAUUUGAUUGCUUGUGUCUUCUUCAUUAUUUUUCUGUUUUGAAAUUUGUUAACGUUUUGAUGAACGCAAAUUUGUUUGGAUUCCUACUGUUGUAGCACUGUUGUGAGGGAUCACCACUGUUUAAGGUGCUUCGUUAAAAUGUGAUAACACUUUGCUUGAUUAUUUCAUAUAGUUUCAAUAAAAACAAAUGUGUGUUUUAAAGGUAUCUCAUUAGAUUCAUUUUGGCCUUUUCUGCAUAUUAAGUUACAAUAUUCCCUUAAAAGUUGGUGAAUCUACUGUUUGAAGUUGGAAGGUCUUUAGUUGUUGAGGCAGUAGGCUAUUGGAUUUUAUUUUUGUUUUAAGUUUAGAAUUCUUAGUUGGGAUC
rnacentral:lncRNA from 1 species